rnacentral:lncRNA from 1 species
CAACUUUACUAGCCUGGAUAUUGAGGGAUUUGGAAUCGAUACAGUGGCAAUUCCUCCUUUGACGUCGGAGUUGUAAAUUGAAAGUGGUGAAUACAAAGGCAACUCUUCCUACCAUGGCCAACACUUAAAAGCACCAUCAAUUUUUACUUUUUCCUUUUUUCCUUUUCUGCCAGCAAAGCCCGAGGCCCAAAAAGAUCAUUUCUUGAACUC